rnacentral:snRNA from 1 species
ACCUCUUCUUGGCCUUUCAACUAAGAUCAAGUGUAGUAUCUGUUCUUAUCAAGUUAAUAUCUGAUAUGUCCUUUAUCCGAAGACAAUCUAGUAAAUGGAUUUUUGGAGAUUCUUUAGUCCACCCCAAACAGGGACCUGGUAACGCAAUACCUCUAGGAACUGUGCACCCACU